AUUGAACGCUGGCGGCAUGCCUAACACAUGCAAGUCGGACGAGUGGCGGACGGGUGAGUAAUGUAUGGGAACCUGCCUGAUGGCGGGGGAUAACUACUGGAAACGGUAGCUAAUACCGCAUACCAUCAGAUGGGCCCAUAUGGGAUUAGCUUGUUGGUGAGGUAACGGCUCACCUAGGCGACGAUCCCUAGCUGGUCUGAGAGGAGGAUCAGCCACACUGGGACUGAGACACGGCCCAGACUCCUACGGGAGGCAGCAGUGGGGAAUAUUGCACAAUGGGCGCAAGCCUGAUGCAGCCAUGCCGCGUGUAUGAAGAAGGCCUUAGGGUUGUAAAGUACUUUCAGUCGGGAGGCGUUACCGACAGAAGAAGCACCGGCUAACUCCGUGCCAGCAGCCGCGGUAAUUC
rnacentral:rRNA from 1 species